UACAGAGACCUCAAGCGUUAUCCGGAAUCAUUGGGCGUAAAGCGUACCGAUAGGUGGUCAAGAAAGCCAAAAGUGAAAUCUCCGAGCUCAACUCGGAAUCUGUCUUUUGGAACUUCUCAACUAGAGGGGCAAAGAGGAAGCUGGAACGAACGGUGUAGUAGUGAAAUGCGUUGAUAUCGUUCGGAACACCAAUAGCGUAGGCAGGCUUCUGGGUGCCACCUGACACUGCUAGGACGAAAGCGUGGGGAGCGAAUGGG
rnacentral:rRNA from 1 species